rnacentral:rRNA from 1 species
UUAAGUGACUAAGCGUACACGGUGGAUGCCUUGGCAGUCAGAGGCGAUGAAAGACGUAGUAACUUGCGAUAAGCCCAGAUUAGGUAGUAACAACCAUUUGAGUCUGGGAUUUCUGAAUGGGGAAACCCACGUGCAUAAGCACGUAUCCUUACCUGAAUACAUAGGGUAAGGAGGCGAACCGGGGGAACUGAAACAUCUAAGUACCCCGAGGAAAAGAAAUCAACCGAGAUUCCGAAAGUAGCGGCGAGCGAAAUUGGACUAGCCCUUAAGCUUUACACGCGUUAGACGAACGGUCUGGAAAGUCCGACGAUACAGGGUGAUAGUCCCGUAGUUGACGACGUGUGUUCAGUGAAAUCGAGUAGGGCGGGACACGUGAUAUCCUGUCUGAAUAUGGGGGGACCAUCCUCCAAGGCUAAAUACUACUGACUGACCGAUAGUGAACCAGUACCGUGAGGGAAAGGCGAAAAGAACCCCUGUGAGGGGAGUGAAAUAGAACCUGAAACCGUGUACGUACAAGCAGUAGGAGCAGGCUUUGUCCUGUGACUGCGUACCUUUUGUAUAAUGGGUCAGCGACUUAUAUUCAGUGGCAAGGUUAACCAUCUAGGGGAGCCGUAGGGAAACCGAGUCUUAACUGGGCGUUCAGUCUCUGGAUAUAGACCCGAAACCAGGUGAUCUAGCCAUGGGCAGGUUGAAGGUUGAGUAACAUCAACUGGAGGACCGAACCGACUAAUGUUGAAAAAUUAGCGGAUGACUUGUGGCUAGGGGUGAAAGGCCAAUCAAACCUGGAGAUAGCUGGUUCUCCCCGAAAGCUAUUUAGGUAGCGCCUCGGACGAAUACUACUGGGGGUAGAGCACUGUUAAGGCUAGGGGGUCAUCCCGACUUACCAACCCUUUGCAAACUCCGAAUACCAGUAAGUACUAUCCGGGAGACACACGGCGGGUGCUAACGUCCGUCGUGGAGAGGGAAACAACCCAGACCGCCAGCUAAGGUCCCAAAUUACUACUAAGUGGGAAACGAUGUGGGAAGGCUCAGACAGCCAGGAUGUUGGCUUAGAAGCAGCCAUCAUUUAAAGAAAGCGUAAUAGCUCACUGGUCGAGUCGGCCUGCGCGGAAGAUGUAACGGGGCUAAGUAGUAAACCGAAGCUGCGGCAAUGUGCUUUUGCACAUUGGGUAGGGGAGCGUUCUGUAAGCGGUUGAAGGUGUGUGGUAACGCAUGCUGGACGUAUCAGAAGUGCGAAUGCUGACAUGAGUAACGAUAAAGGGGGUGAAAAACCUCCUCGCCGGAAGACCAAGGGUUCCUGUCCAACGUUAAUCGGGGCAGGGUAAGUCGACCCCUAAGGCGAGGCCGAAAGGCGUAGUCGAUGGGAAACGGGUUAAUAUUCCCGUACUUCUUACAAUUGCGAUGGGGGGACGGAGAAGGCUAGGUGGGCCUGGCGACGGUUGUCCAGGUUCAAGUGCGUAGGCUUGAGAGUUAGGUAAAUCCGGCUCUCUUUAAGGCUGAGACACGACGUCGAGCCACUACGGUGGUGAAGUCAUUGAUGCCAUGCUUCCAGGAAAAGCCUCUAAGCUUCAGAUUGUAAGGAAUCGUACCCCAAACCGACACAGGUGGUCGGGUAGAGAAUACCAAGGCGCUUGAGAGAACUCGGGUGAAGGAACUAGGCAAAAUGGUACCGUAACUUCGGGAGAAGGUACGCUCUCGACGGUGAAGUCCCUCGCGGAUGGAGCUAUUGAGAGUCGCAGAUACCAGGUGGCUGCAACUGUUUAUUAAAAACACAGCACUGUGCAAAAUCGUAAGAUGACGUAUACGGUGUGACGCCUGCCCGGUGCCGGAAGGUUAAUUGAUGGGGUUAGACUUCGGUCGAAGCUCUUGAUCGAAGCCCCGGUAAACGGCGGCCGUAACUAUAACGGUCCUAAGGUAGCGAAAUUCCUUGUCGGGUAAGUUCCGACCUGCACGAAUGGCGUAAUGAUGGCCACGCUGUCUCCACCCGAGACUCAGUGAAAUUGAAAUCGCUGUGAAGAUGCAGUGUACCCGCGGCUAGACGGAAAGACCCCGUGAACCUUUACUACAGCUUGGCACUGAACAUUGACCCUACAUGUGUAGGAUAGGUGGGAGGCUUUGAAGCACGUACGCCAGUAUGUGUGGAGCCGUCCUUGAAAUACCACCCUUGUAGUGUUGAUGUUCUAACGUCGACCCCUUAUCGGGGUUGCGGACAGUGCCUGGUGGGUAGUUUGACUGGGGCGGUCUCCUCCCAAAGAGUAACGGAGGAGCACGAAGGUGGGCUAAUCACGGUUGGACAUCGUGAGGUUAGUGCAAUGGCAUAAGCCCGCUUGACUGCGAGAAUGACAAUUCGAGCAGGUGCGAAAGCAGGUCAUAGUGAUCCGGUGGUUCUGAAUGGAAGGGCCAUCGCUCAACGGAUAAAAGGUACUCCGGGGAUAACAGGCUGAUACCGCCCAAGAGUUCAUAUCGACGGCGGUGUUUGGCACCUCGAUGUCGGCUCAUCACAUCCUGGGGCUGAAGUCGGUCCCAAGGGUAUGGCUGUUCGCCAUUUAAAGUGGUACGCGAGCUGGGUUUAGAACGUCGUGAGACAGUUCGGUCCCUAUCUGCCGUGGGCGUUGGAAGAUUGAAGGGGGCUGCUCCUAGUACGAGAGGACCGGAGUGGACGAACCUCUGGUGUUCGGGUUGUGUCGCCAGACGCAUUGCCCGGUAGCUAAGUUCGGAAUCGAUAACCGCUGAAAGCAUCUAAGCGGGAAGCGAGCCCUGAGAUGAGUCUUCCCUGAUACUUUAAGUAUCCUAAAGGGUUGUCGGAGACUACGACGUUGAUAGGUCAGGUGUGUAAGUGCUGUGAGGCAUUGAGCUAACUGAUACUAAUUGCCCGUGAGGCUUAACC